rnacentral:rRNA from 1 species
UGGGGAAUAUUGGACAAUGGGCGAAAGCCUGAUCCAGCCAUGCCGCGUGUGUGAAGAAGGCCUUUUGGUUGUAAAGCACUUUAAGCGAGGAGGAGGCUACUUGGAUUAAUACUCUAGGAUAGUGGACGUUACUCGCAGAAUAAGCACCGGCUAACUCUGUGCCAGCAGCCGCGGUAAUACAGAGGGUGCGAGCGUUAAUCGGAUUUACUGGGCGUAAAGCGUGCGUAGGCGGCUUCUUAAGUCGGAUGUGAAAUCCCUGAGCUUAACUUAGGAAUUGCAUUCGAUACUGGGAAGCUAGAGUAUGGGAGAGGAUGGUAGAAUUCCAGGUGUAGCGGUGAAAUGCGUAGAGAUCUGGAGGAAUACCGAUGGCGAAGGCAGCCAUCUGGCCUAAUACUAACGCUGAGGUACGAAAGCAUGGGGAGCAAACAGG